rnacentral:lncRNA from 1 species
GUGUUCAUUAUUUUUAUUCUAAGUUAUAUCCUUGUUGUUUUAGGUAGCAAAAUAUUUUCAUUUUAGAAACCCAACCCCCCCCCCCUUUUCUUGUGUUUCCGUAACCUUCAAUUGGCAUCAGACCUCGAGUUCUGGUAUUAAUUGUUUAUUAAACACUUCACCAUGUCAGAUAACGAUCAUGAUUUUUAAAACACAAUGGCACAA